GACGGGGGGGGCAAGCGUUGUUCGGAAUUACUGGGCGUAAAGGGCUCGUAGGUGGCCAACUAAGUCAGACGUGAAAUCCCUCAGCUUAACUGGGGAACUGCGUCUGAUACUGGAUGGCUUGAGUUUGGGAGAGGGAUGCGGAAUUCCAGGUGUAGCGGUGAAAUGCGUAGAUAUCUGGAGGAACACCGGUGGCGAAGGCGGCAUCCUGGACCAACACUGACACUGAGGAGCGAAAGCCAGGGGAGCAAACGGG
rnacentral:rRNA from 1 species